rnacentral:rRNA from 1 species
UCUGGGAAACUGCCUGAUGGAGGGGGAUAACUACUGGAAACGGUAGCUAAUACCGCAUAACGUCGCAAGACCAAAGUGGGGGACCUUCGGGCCUCAUGCCAUCAGAUGUGCCCAGAUGGGAUUAGCUAGUAGGUGGGGUAAUGGCUCACCUAGGCGACGAUCUCUAGCUGGUCUGAGAGGAUGAUCAGCCACACUGGGACUGAGACACGGCCCAG